rnacentral:rRNA from 1 species
GCAGCAGUAGGGAUCUUCCGCAUGGGCGAAAGCCUGACGGAGCAACGCCGCGUGAGUGAUGAAGGUCUUCGGAUCGUAAAACUCUGUUAUUAGGGAAGAACAUAUGUGUAAGUAACUGUGCACAUCUUGACGGUACCUAAUCAGAAAGCCACGGCUAACUACGUGCCAGCAGCCGCGGUAAUACGUAGGUGGCAAGCGUUAUCCGGAAUUAUUGGGCGUAAAGCGCGCGUAGGCGGUUUUUUAAGUCUGAUGUGAAAGCCCACGGCUCAACCGUGGAGGGUCAUUGGAAACUGGAAAACUUGAGUGCAGAAGAGGAAAGUGGAAUUCCAUGUGUAGCGGUGAAAUGCGCAGAGAUAUGGAGGAACACCAGUGGCGAAGGCGACUUUCUGGUCUGUAACUGACGCUGAUGUGCGAAAGCGUGGGGAUCAAACAGGAUUAGAUACCCUGGUAGUCCACGCCGUAAACGAUGAGUGCUAAGUGUUAGGGGGUUUCCGCCCCUUAGUGCUGCAGCUAACGCAUUAAGCACUCCGCCUGGGGAGUACGACCGCAAGGUUGAAACUCAAAGGAAUUGACGGGGGCCGGCACAAGA